rnacentral:rRNA from 1 species
AUUGAACGCUAGCGGGAUGCCUUACACAUGCAAGUCGAACGGAGUGGCGAACGGGUGAGUACUGUAUCGGAACGUGCCCAGUAGCGGGGGAUAACUACGCGAAAGCGUAGCUAAUACCGCAUACUAUUGGAGCGGCCGAGAUCGGAUUAGCUAGUUGGUGGGGUAACGGCUCACCAAGGCGACGAUCCGUAGCUUGGUUGAGAGGACGCCCAGCCACACUUGGACUGGGACACGUCCCAGACUCCUACUGGAGGCAGCAGUGGGGAAUUUUGGACAAUGGGGGAAACCCUGAUCCAGCCAUCCCGCGGGGGCGAUGAAGGCCUUAGGGUUGUAAAGCACUUUUUGCAGGAAAGCGGUACCUGCAGAAUAAGCACCGGCUAACUACGUGCCAGCAGCCGCGGUAAUA